GAGAAAGAGAACAAGAGCGAACGGAGGAUGCCUUGGCUUCCGAAAGCGACGAAGGACGUGGUAAGCUGCGAAAAGCUCCGGGGAUCUGCAAACAGGAAUUGAUCCGGAGAUGUCCGAAUGGGGGAACCCCUGCAGUUGAAGACUGCAGACCAUCGUGAGAUGGAGCGAACGCAGGGAACUGAAACAUCUUAGUACCUGCAGGAAAAGAAAGAAAUCAUCGAUUCCCGGAGUAGUGGCGAUCGAAACGGGAAGAGCCUAAACCGAGUGCGUUACGGCGUAUUCGGGGUUGUAGGACCAUUCAUAAAGAACCAGCUAGGAACCGGAACUGUCUGGAAAGUCAGUCCGCAGAGGGUGAAAGGCCCGUACGGGUAACGGGGCUGGGUCGAGAGUGGCACCUGAGUAGGGCGGGACACGUGGAAUCCUGUCUGAAUCCGCGGCGACCAUGCCGCAAGGCUAAAUAUAACCGGAAGACCGAUAGUGGAACAGUACCGUGAGGGAAAGUUGGGAAGCACCCCGAACAGGGGAGUGAAAUAGAACCUGAAACCGUUCGUUUACAAGCGGUCGGAGUCGAAAGACGACGGCGUGCCUUUU
rnacentral:rRNA from 1 species